CCUACGGGAGGCAGCAGUGGGGAAUAUUGCACAAUGGGCGCAAGCCUGAUGCAGCCAUGCCGCGUGUGUGAAGAAGGCCUUCGGGUUGUAAAGCACUUUCAGCGGGGAGGAAGGCGGUGAGGUUAAUAACCUCAUCGGUUGACGUUACCCGCAGAAGAAGCACCGGCUAACUCCGUGCCAGCAGCCGCGGUAAUACGGAGGGUGCAAGCGUUAAUCGGAAUUACUGGGCGUAAAGCGCACGCAGGCGGUCUGUCAAGUCGGAUGUGAAAUCCCCGGGCUCAACCUGGGAACUGCAUUCGAAACUGGCAGGCUAGAGUCUUGUAGAGGGGGGUAGAAUUCCAGGUGUAGCGGUGAAAUGCGUAGAGAUCUGGAGGAAUACCGGUGGCGAAGGCGGCCCCCUGGACAAAGACUGACGCUCAGGUGCGAAAGCGUGGGGAGCAAACAGGAUUAGAUACCCUAGUAGUC
rnacentral:rRNA from 1 species